CACACACACACACACGCACAAAAAGGUAACUAAUGCACAAAUUACUAUCUCGCAUUAUUCAACAUUCCAAAUCUAGGCAUUCUAAUUAACACAUUGAGAAAAAAUAAGUAUCCACCAAAAAAUAAUUAUACAUAAAACAUCGAAAAACAAGAAAUAUUAAAUAAAUGGUUAAAAAAAAGCUCCAGAAAAUAAAUAAAAGCUUCAAAUCGCCAAUAGACAAACAUGCACUAAAAUUCCAUAACGAAAUAAAAAGAGAAAAAGCUAUAAGCAAACUCACAUCGCAUAAAAAAUGCAAAAACCCUAAAAUCAAAUAAUUAAUAGACCCAAAAAAAGAACGAAAAUGAGCAAAAAGCAGAUCAAACGGGAGCUUACAAAGCAGAUAAUCUUGAUCCGCUGAACGUCGACGUAGAAUCCAGGAAUCGCAGAAGGAGAUCGAAAAACCCUAACCUCAACAAGAGAGAAGAAAGGGAGAUAGAAUGUGAGAGAAACACAGAGAGAAGGA
rnacentral:misc_RNA from 1 species